CAGAGUUCGUGCCCUCACGGGUAGAUCUCCCACCCUGUGUUAUUAUACCUUUGUUGCUUUGGCGGGCCGCCCUCGGCUACCGGCCCCGGCUGGUACGCGCCCGCCAGAGGACCCCAUAUUCUAUGUAUAUCUGUCGUCUGAGUACUAUAUAAUAAGUUA
rnacentral:misc_RNA from 1 species